AAUGCGAAUGUAAUGAUGUCCAGAAGUUAUCGAAGAGUAACUUAGCAUAUACUCAAAGAAAUCCUAAUGCUGGCGUACCUACAAAAAAUAACCACAACAAGCAUAUUUAUUUGUAAAGUUGUUCUCGGAAUGGGCAAAGGUCCGUGCUCAACAUCAAAUAUCUGUUAAUUCCAGUAGGAGAAGUCGCUGCGGAAUUCCAAUAACAAACAGUAAUAAAAGUCGAGGAUAUUGAAAGUUAUUCAUGGGCGUUCGCAGAGGCUCCAAGGGUUUGGUGCUGUUGACCCCGUUCGUGACAAGUUUCCUAAAUAUCCAUUCAGAUUUGAUUAAUAAGCUCCAGACACUAAAACUGGACCAUACAUUUUUACAGCUCGUAAAAUCAAGAGGCGAGAUGUUGUUUUGUACGUCGCACCACCCCAACCACCUUCAAGUAAAUAAUCCCCGCAACUUAUAUUAAAGGAUAGACUGUGUUAAUGAGGACGAGCGGCUGAAAGCGGGGGUUUCGGAAUCGGUUGUAAUGAAGCUGACCUC